CCUGCAAAGAGACACCAAUGAAUAGGCUGAAGGGUACUUUGAAUAUAAGUAAAUUAGGUAUAUUUCGUUCUGCGCUUUUUAUUUUACCCACUAAAUGUUAUUACGUGGAUAUUAUAUUUUUUCGUUUCUAAUUUUCGUACAGCGAAUAUUACGCGCAUUGUAUGUAUUUUUGCAGAAUUAAAAUUUUAUGUAUGAACAUCCGCAGUCUGGAUACAAAGUAUCGGGAGAAAAUUAUUUUUGGGAUGUUUCUCAGUGUCAAGCUUAUAUAUACACAUAUAUAACGCAAGCUAUGUCAACACUGAUACGUUCUUUGAGUCAUUUUCGAUUCAGUCGAAAACGAAAGAAUUCUCGCUUAUAUGCGCGAUUCUUCGUUUCAAGUUUAUACUAAGAUCUUUUCCAAAACGUCGAAGAUCUCGUCCAUUUCACGAAAACAAAAUUGAGAUACAACGAUUUGAUGAGCGAAAUUGUAUCCGCCGUACGAAAAAACAAGGCCAACAAAUUACAAGCGACGUAUCGGAAAUUUUGAAGCAGCCGCAACCGCAAGCGGAAACACGCCGUUAGCCCCAGUUUCUACGCGUCAGCUGUUGCCUCUUACACAAGACUCCACCAAGGUACGUAUACGACUAUAUCAUAUAUCAAGAUAAUCGAGGCAAUUUCACACUCGCGCUGGCCUCAACUCUCUUUCAAUAAACGUAAUUCACUAAACGAGAUUAAAACACAUGCAUACCCGUUACAAGGUGAGAAGGGCUUGUGUGUGAUCGGUGCCACUGACUCCAAUUCGACGGGCAUUCUGUAUCAGGCUUUUCUUACUUCUAUUUCACAGUGCUCGAUUAUUAUCAACAACUCCACUCUAAAUCUA